AACGAACGCUGGCGGCAUGCCUAAUACAUGCAAGUCGAACGAUCACUUCGGUGGUAGUGGCGCACGGGUGCGUAACGCGUGGGAAUCUGCCCUUGGGUUCGGAAUAACAGUUGGAAACGACUGCUAAUACCGGAUGAUGACGUAAGUCCAAAGAUUUAUCGCCCAAGGAUGAGCCCGCGUAGGAUUAGCUAGUUGGUGAGGUAAAGGCUCACCAAGGCGACGAUCCUUAGCUGGUCUGAGAGGAUGAUCAGCCACACUGGGACUGAGACACGGCCCAGACUCCUACGGGAGGCAGCAGUAGGGAAUAUUGGACAAUGGGGGCAACCCUGAUCCAGCAAUGCCGCGUGAGUGAUGAAGGCCUUAGGGUUGUAAAGCUCUUUUACCCGGGAUGAUAAUGACAGUACCGGGGGAAUAAGCUCCGGCUAACUCCGUGCCAGCAGCCGCGGUAAUACGGAGGGAGCUAGCGUUGUUCGGAAUUACUGGGCGUAAAGCGCACGUAGGCGGCUAUUCAAGUCAGAGGUGAAAGCCCGGGGCUCAACUCCGGAACUGCCUUUGAAACUAGAUAGCUUGAAUCCAGGAGAGGUGAGUGGAAUUCCGAGUGUAGAGGUGAAAUUCGUAGAUAUUCGGAAGAACACCAGUGGCGAAGGCGGCUCACUGGACUGGUAUUGACGCUGAGGUGCGAAAGCGUGGGGAGCA
rnacentral:rRNA from 1 species